rnacentral:rRNA from 1 species
UACGUAGGGUGCGAGCGUUGUCCGGAAUUACUGGGCGUAAAGCGUGCGUAGGUGGUGAGUUAAGUCUGUCGUGAAAGCCCCGGGCUCAACCUGGGAAUGGCGAUGGAUACUGGCUCGCUAGAGUGCGGUAGAGGGUGGUGGAAUUCCCGGUGUAGCAGUGAAAUGCGUAGAGAUCGGGAGGAACAUCAGUUGCGAAGGCGGCCACCUGGACCAGCACUGACACUGAGGCACGAAAGCCAGGGGAGCGAACGGG